rnacentral:tRNA from 1 species
GGAGGCGUGCGUGAGUGGUUGAAACGGCAAUCCUGGAAAGAUUGUAUACCGGAAACGGUAUCGGAGGUUCGAAUCCUCCCGCCUCCG